UUUGUUUGGAGAGUUUGAUCCUGGCUCAGGACGAACGCUGGCGGCGUGCUUAACACAUGCAAGUCGAACGGAAAGGUCUCUAAAAAAUCUUUUUUAGAGAUACUCGAGUGGCGAACGGGUGAGUAACACGUGGGUAAUCUGCCCUGCACUUCAGGGAUAAGCUUGGGAAACUGGGUCUAAUACCGGAUAGGACUUCAAGGCGCAUGUCUUGUGGUGGAAAGCUUUUUGCGGUGCAGGAUGGGCCCGCGGCCUAUCAGCUUGUUGGUGGGGUGACGGCCUACCAAGGCGACGACGGGUAGCCGGCCUGAGAGGGUGUACGGCCACACUGGGACUGAGAUACGGCCCAGACUCCUACGGGAGGCAGCAGUGGGGAAUAUUGCACAAUGGGCGCAAGCCUGAUGCAGCGACGCCGCGUGGGGGAUGACGGCUUUCGGGUUGUAAACCUCUUUCACCAUCGACGAAGGUCUGGGUUUUCUCGGAUUGACGGUAGGUGGAGAAGAAGCACCGGCCAACUACGUGCCAGCAGCCGCGGUAAUACGUAGGGUGCGAGCGUUGUCCGGAAUUACUGGGCGUAAAGAGCUCGUAGGUGGUUUGUCGCGUUGUUCGUGAAAUCUCACGGCUUAACUGUGAGCGUGCGGGCGAUACGGGCAGACUGGAGUACGUGAC
rnacentral:rRNA from 1 species